UUGCUACCUCUCCCCCAACAUCCUCCUGGGACAUACAGUGAUGGCCCCCACACCUGGAAGGACUCAAGCUCUGAAUCCAGCACCUUCAGGAAGCAAGUGAUGGCAUCCCAGGGGCCCUAUGCUUGAGACAGACUGACGAAAACAGGUGGAUCUAGGUAAAAUCAGUCUCUGCUACCCUCCUCAUCUAAACCCUCAGUGCAGGCGGAACGUGGAUUUCUGUCAAUGUGAGGCCAUGGGACCCUGGAACAAUGCUGCCACUUCCUAUCAAUCUGUUUCUUAAAUUGCAGGGUAAAGUUCACCAUAAAUAACAAAGUCAUGGAGUCAAGCUGUCACAAAUGGCCACCGUUUCUAAUGCAGUUGAAUUGUAUGCAUUGACAGGAAAAAGCAGGAAGGAGUGAAGACAGAACAAGGGGAGAAUGUAACCUGAGUUGGAAGGUGUAAUAUUUAAAUGUAUUUGCAAACCCGUUUUGGGCCAAAAGGGGUAGGAGGAAGAGAAGACGCAUUUGCUGAGAUCUAUUAUAUGCCAACUGGAGGACUACAAAAUUCACAAAUUGGUGGGUGUUAAUGUGCUUGUUCUUUCUGAUGUAAGCAUGUAAGCUUUCCACAUCUCUGAUUCCAUGCUCAAGGUGGGCCAAGCCAUGCUGCUUGUAAGACAGGGUGCCUGUGAUGACACGAGUCAUUAAUGCAAGUGUUAAGUGCCAUGCAAGCACAGAAGCCACUUAAAAUGGGUUUUCAGAAAUGAAAGCUGGGCUCAAACAGAGCCCACUUUCAAGGGGGCCUGGUUUAAGUGGCCAAACUCUCAAGAAGAAAGGCAUUAAAGGAAGAGCCUUUCUGCUGGGCUGGCAAAACUUUAGGUUCAUGAAUUCAGGAGGAGACUGAGGAGGAGAAAACAGGGUUUUAGAAUGCAGCCUCAGGAGCUGCCUGCACCUCUCAGGCCAGGAGGUUGGCUUUUCCAAUUGUGUGAUUAAGCUAUUCUAUCCAGCCCCACCUCUCAUUUUCAAUUAAUCUGCACUAAUGAAUUCAACAACCAAAAUGCAUUUGCUAAUUGAGGUGCUUGCUGGCCAGGGCAUCCCCGCUCCCUUGUCUAACAGCUGGUACUCCCCACUGUGCCACGGUAAAGUAGGGUAGUAGAGGCCUCUGCUCCCCUCAUCCCCUGCUGCCCCUGAGGGGAAUACCCAGUGGGCAAGAAAAGGCCCAGCCUGGGAGAGAAUGCUCAUAAUAUAUUACUAAGUCACAGACAGAAAUUGCUCCUCCGGGCAGUCUUUCACUUUUUGUUUCUAAGUGAAAGCUCAUGACCAUCCCAGCCAUAUUAUCUCCCUGGCCCUUG
rnacentral:lncRNA from 1 species